UGCUUUCUGCAUACCAUAUGAAGUAAUUCCUGCCCAGUGAAUCACUUUCAACGGCCGCGGUAUCCUAACCGUGCAAAGGUAGCAUAAUCACUUGCCCAUUAAUUGUGGGCUAGCAUGAAAGGACUAACGAAAUAAAAACUGUCUCUAUAAGUCACAUAAAAAUUACCCUCUAACUGAAGAUUGUUAGAUGAUAUCGAAGGACAAGAAGACCCUAUAGAGCUUUAUUUUAUUAAGAUGUUUAAAAUUUUAUAAGAUUCGGUUGGGGCGACCUGGGAAAUAUUUAUCAUCCCCCGACAAUAGAUAGAUAAAUCACUUUUUUGACCCUUAAUAAAGAUCCUUAGAUCAAGCUACCUUAGGGAUAACAGGCUAAUCCCACUAAAGAGUUCUUAUCAAUAGUGGGGGUUGGCACCUCGAUGUUGGCUUAGGGAAUCUAUGCGACGCAAAAGUCACAUAAAGAUGGUUUGUUCAACCAGUAAUACCCU
rnacentral:rRNA from 1 species